rnacentral:lncRNA from 1 species
GGAGUGGCCGUCCGUCCCUGCGGGCUCACCCUGGUGGCGACGCCUCGCUGUAGCAGAUGGUGGCAGAGUGUCAUAAGGGGCAGUGUCCUUUUCUUAACUCGGCACAAAAGUACUACAUGGACCAGCUGCAGCUCUGGCCAGAAGCCUGGCGAUCUGGUGGCUCCGGCUCUCCUAGGUGGCAGGUGAGUGUGCCUGCUGAGCCUGAGAGGAGCAGAUAUGUGGGGUCACUGUGGGGACCUGCGCUGUUUCUAAGGCAUGCUUUCUUCACAGGUGUCUGGGUGUGAGCUUUGAUGGAGACACACAGGCAUGUGCUUGGUGUGCAGGGGCGUGUUGAGUUAGAUGGGAAACCAAGAGACUUGAGACAAAAUGAGGUUGUCCUCCCAUCCUUCUGCCACCUCCAUGGGGAAAACAUGGCCUGGCUGGGACACUGGCUCCUGAACAGCUUUUGGGCCCAGGGUAUAGGACACAGUGGGCAAAGGCGGCUGAUCGGCAAGCUCAUACCUAAGUGUUUGCUGUUGUCCCCCACUGAGAUGGUACACAAUGUAGAGUGUGACUGCGUAACGACCAAGAGAUAUCACGUUGGCCCCAGGACCAAGCAGGGAGAGAAAGGAUGAGCAAACUCUUAGAGGAGGAUUGGAAAAGGAGCCUGGAUUCUGCGUGGGUCAGGACUCCCAAGGAAAUCCACCUAGAGUGACUUCCCGUGUGCAGAUAGACUUGGGCAAGGCCUGCCUCCUUUGGAUAAGAGCUUAAAGAGAAAAUGCAAAAGAAACAGCCAACCUGUCAGGGACACUCAGGGGAAAUAGGAAGGGCCCAGAAAUGGCUGAGUUGGAAAAUAAAUCUGUCAGUUUUAGUCUCGAGCCAGUAGAUCAUUUUCAAAUGAAGAUAUAGUCUAAGAUAAAGAUCAAAACAAAGUCGUUGCCUGUUAAAUACCACACAGACUGGGGCUUAGGCCUUUAAUCUCAGCACUUGGGAGGCAGAAGCAGGCUUA